UGGGGAAUAUUGGACAAUGGGCGGAAGCCUGAUCCAGCCAUGCCGCGUGUGUGAAGAAGGCCUUAUGGUUGUAAAGCACUUUAAGCGAGGAGGAGGCUACUUUAGUUAAUACCUAGAGAUAGUGGACGUUACUCGCAGAAUAAGCACCGGCUAACUCUGUGCCAGCAGCCGCGGUAAUACAGAGGGUGCAAGCGUUAAUCGGAUUUACUGGGCGUAAAGCGCGCGUAGGCGGCUAAUUAAGUCAAAUGUGAAAUCCCCGAGCUUAACUUGGGAAUUGCAUUCGAUACUGGUUAGCUAGAGUGUGGGAGAGGAUGAUAGAAUUCCAGGUGUAGCGGUGAAAUGCGUAGAGAUCUGGAGGAAUACCGAUGGCGAAGGCAGCCAUCUGGCCUAACACUGACGCUGAGGUGCGAAAGCAUGGGGAGCAAACAGGAUUAGAUACCCCCGUAGUCC
rnacentral:rRNA from 1 species